GAGGAUGUGCCUGAUGCCCGAAAAUGUGCUUGUGCCAGCCAUGUGGCCAAGGUGGCUGAAUUCUUCCAGGGCGUUGACGUAAUUGUGAAUGCCAGCAGUGUGGAGGAUAUCGAUGCUGGCGCCAUUGGGCAGCGGCUCUCCAAUGGACUGGCUCGGCUCUCUAGCCCAGUGCUGCACCGCCUGCGCCUUCGGGAGGAUGAGAAUGCUGAGCCGGUGGGCACCACCUACCAGAAGACGGAUGCGGCCGUGGAGAUGAAGCGGAUUAACCAAGGAGGAGGAGCUGCGGAAGGAGGAGGAGCGGAAGAAGGCUUUGGACGCCAGGCUCAGGUUUGAGCAGGAGCGGAUGGAGCAGGAGCGGCAGGAGCAGGAGGAACGGGAACGGCGCUACCGAGAGCGGGAGCAGCAGAUCGAGGAGCACAGGUAAAGUCAGGCCCAAGGCAGAGGAGCACCCCGCACUGAGCCCACACUCAGGGGGCUUCCUGCACUUCUCGUUCCAGGAGGAAACAGCAGAGUCUGGAAGCUGAAGAGGCCAAGAGGAGGUUAAAGGAUCAGUCUAUCUUUGGUGAUCAGCGAGAUGAAGAGGAAGAGUCCCAGAUGAAGAAGUCGGAAUCUGAGGUGGAGGAGGCAGCUGCCAUCAUUGCCCAGCGGCCUGAUAACCCACGGGAGUUCUUCAGACAGCAGGAACGAGUGGCUUCAGCCUCUGGUGGCAGCUGUGACGCACCCUCGCCCUUCAACCACC
rnacentral:lncRNA from 1 species